UACAGAGGUCAUCAGCGUUGUUCGGAUUUAUUGGGCGUAAAGAGCUCGUAGGCGGCUCGUUGCGUCGGCUGUGAAAAACCCGCAGCUCAACCUGUGGGCUUGCAGCUGAUACGGGCGGGCUGGGAUUCGGUAGGGGAGACGUGGAAUUCCUGGUGAGCGGUGAAAUGCGACAGAGUAUCAGGAGGAACACCGGUGGCGAAGGCGGGUCUC
rnacentral:rRNA from 1 species